UACGGGGGAGCAAGCGUUGUUCGGAUUUACUGGGCGUAAAGGGCGCGUAGGCGGCCACCGCAAGUCGACUGUGAAAUCUCCGGGCUUAACCCGGAAAGGUCAGCCGAUACUGCGGGCUAGAGUGCAGGAAGGGCAACUGGAAUUCUCGGUGUAGCGGUGAAAUGCGUAGAUAUCGGGAGGAACACCAGUGGCGAAGGCGGCUCACUGGCCCGAUACUGACGCUGAGGCACGAAAGCGUGGGGAG
rnacentral:rRNA from 1 species